AGCUUGCUCACAGGCACAUCAUAUCCAUAACACCUGUGCACUUGUCGGAUGGCUUAGUGAAGACCGCAAGGUUGGAUCUAUCCAUCUACUUUACAUAACAAUUCUGUAACAAAUGUAGUCUUAUUAUAACAUAAUAAAACUUUCAACAACGGAUCUCUUGGCUCUCGCAUCGAUGAAGAACGCAGCGAAAUGCGAUAAGUAAUGUGAAUUGCAGAAUUCAGUGAAUCAUCGAAUCUUUGAACGCACCUUGCGCUCCUUGGUAUUCCGAGGAGCAUGCCUGUUUGAGUGUCAUGAAAACCCUCAACCCUAGAUUGGUUAAAACCUUUCUUUGGUUUGGAUUUGGACGUUUGCCGAUGAUAAGUCGGCUCGUCUUAAAAGUAAUAGCUGGAUCUGUCUCGCGACAUGGUUUGACUUGGCGUAAUAAGUAUUUCGCUAAGGACAUCUUCGGAUGGCCGCGUUGCAGGACUAAAGACCGCUUUCUAAUCCAUUGAUCUUACGAUUAAUAUUCUUGACAUCUGGCCUCAAAUCAGGUAGGACUACCCGCUGAACUUAAGCAUAUCAAUAAGCGG
rnacentral:rRNA from 1 species